UCAGAACGAACGCUGGCGGCAGGCUUAACACAUGCAAGUCGAACGCAUCCUUCGGGGUGAGUGGCAGACGGGUGAGUAACACGUGGGAACGUACCCCUUUGUUCGGAAUAACCCUGGGAAACUAGGGCUAAUACCGGAUACGGCCGAGAGGCGAAAGGUUUACUGCAGAGGGAUCGGCCCGCGUCCGAUUAGCUAGUUGGAGAGGUAAUGGCUCACCAAGGCAUCGAUCGGUAGCUGGUCUGAGAGGAUGACCAGCCACAUUGGGACUGAGACACGGCCCAAACUCCUACGGGAGGCAGCAGUGGGGAAUAUUGGACAAUGGGCGCAAGCCUGAUCCAGCCAUGCCGCGUGAGUGAUGACGGCCUUAGGGUUGUAAAGCUCUUUUGCCUGGGAAGAUAAUGACGGUACCAGGAGAAUAAGCCCCGGCUAACUUCGUGCCAGCAGCCGCGGUAAUACGAAGGGGGCUAGCGUUGUUCGGAUUUACUGGGCGUAAAGGGCGCGUAGGCGGACCUGUAAGUCAGGGGUGAAAUCCCAAGGCUCAACCUUGGAACUGCCUUUGAUACUGUGGGUCUUGAGUCCGGGAGAGGUGAGUGGAACUGCGAGUGUAGAGGUGAAAUUCGUAGAUAUUCGCAAGAACACCAGUGGCGAAGGCGGCUCACUGGCCCGGAACUGACGCUGAGGCGCGAAAGCGUGGGGAGCAAACAGGAUUAGAUACCCUGGUAGUCCACGCCUUAAACGAUGGAUGCUAGCCGUUGGUCAGCUUGCUGAUCCGUGGCGCCGUUAACACAUAAGC
rnacentral:rRNA from 1 species